CUGACAAAUACAAUUAGAACGUGCAGAACGACGUUUCGAGCGACGAGAUGGGUUAGGUGCAUCUGGUUAAGAGAGGCUAGUCUUAGAGUGGGGAGUAGGGUGAGGGUUAGGUUAUCAAUGUGUCUGUAUGAUGAUAUAAAUGAUACAAAUGAAGAGAAUGUAUUGUAUAUUGUGUCUCCACCCACAUUAUCGUCUGUCUGCGCGUGCGUACAUCUGAGCCAAUCACAAC